rnacentral:lncRNA from 1 species
AGAAAACCCGCAUCCAACUGCUUCUGAACCUCUUCCUUGAUCUUAACAGCCAUAUCAGGACUAGUUCUCCGAAGCUUCUGCUUGACCGAAGGACAAUCUUCUCUGAGAGGUAGCCUAUGCACCACAAUAUCGGUAUCCAACCCAGGCAUAUCUUGAUACGACCAGGCGAAUAUCUCCACAUACUCUCUCAGCAUCUCAAUCAACCUUCUCUUG